rnacentral:misc_RNA from 1 species
UACGUACCGCACGAACGUUAUUCGGAAUCACUGGGCUUAAAGGGUGCGUAGGCGGCCUGGAAGGUGGGGUGUGAAAUCCCUCGGCUUAACCGAGGAACUGCGCUCCAAACCGCCAGGCUUGAGGAAGGCAGAGGUAAGCGGAACUGAUGGUGGAGCGGUGAAAUGCGUUGAUAUCAUCAGGAACACCAGUGGCGAAGGCGGCUUACUGGGCCUUUUCUGACGCUGAGGCACGAAAGCUAGGGUAGCGAACGGG